AGACGAACCGUACAAACGUUAUUCGGAAUCACUGGGUUUAAAGGGUGCGUAGGCGGCUUGGCAAGUUGGGUGUGAAAUCCCUCGGCUCAACCGAGGAACUGCGCUCAAAACUGCCAGGCUAGAGGGAGAUAGAGGUGAGCGGAACUUAGGGUGGAGCGGUGAAAUGCGUUGAUAUCCUAAGGAACACCAGUGGCGAAAGCGGCUCACUGGAUCUCUUCUGACGCUCAGGCACGAAAGCUAGGGUAGCGAACGGGAUUAGAAACCCCAGUAGUCC
rnacentral:rRNA from 1 species